UGGAACACGGGCCUCGACUGUUUACCAAAAACAUAGCCCUCGGCCAAUAUGAAAAUAGAUGUAUAGAGGGUGAUGCCUGCCCAAUGGUUGUAUCUAAAAGCGGUUGAUAAAAGUCGACCUCGUAAGGACAAUUGAAUGGCCGCGGUAACACUGACCGUGAUAAUGUAGCGUAAUCAAUAGCCAAUUAAUUGUUGGCCAGUAUGAAUGGCGCCACGAAGGCCCCACUGUCUUAAGGAAAUUCCCAGUGAAAUUGAAUUCGUAGUGAAGAUGCUACGUCCAAUUUGUUAGACGAAAAGACCCCGUUGAGCUUUACUGGGGCACUUACACGGCCCCGGCCUUCCCGUGUCCGGGAACCGGCCGAAUUUAAAUGGGUGGUUUAGACUAUGUGGCAGCCCCCCGCCGGGGCAGAUGAAACCCCACUCCCCCAUGUCAAAGGGGCUAACCCCCCCUUGGGGGGGAGAGUGUAAGUAGGACAGUUUGGUUGGGGCGACCGCCUUUUAAAGAGUAACGAAGGUGCGCUUAAGGUGCGCAAUUAAUGACUGAAGCCUGACUGCGAGGGGGACACCCCGAGCAGACACCCCUAAGCCCGCCCGAAGGGCGGCGGUGGGGUGGGCCAUAGUGACCCGUUAAUUUAGAGUGGAAUAGUUAACGAUCAACGAAUAAAAG
rnacentral:rRNA from 1 species